rnacentral:sRNA from 1 species
GAGUGGGAGUGUGCAAAGCGCCGCAUCCCGGGUGGGGGGCGAGGCUUCCCCUUGCCCGCCCCUCCCCCGGCCUGCAGUCCCUCCCAGGGCCGCUUCGCGGAGCGGUUAGGAGCACGGCGGCGGCACUUUCCCCGGCAGGAGCUGGAGCUGGGCUCUGGGGCGCGCGCGGCUGUGCCGCCCGAGCCGGAGGGACUGGUUGCUUGAGAGAGAGAGAGAGGAAAGGAAUCCUGGGCUGCCGAACCGCACGUUCAGCCCGCUCCGCUCCUGCAGGGCAGCCUUUCGGCUCUCUGCGCGCGAAGCCGAGUCCCGGGCGGCUGGGGCGGGGGUCCACUGAGACCGCUACCGGCCCCUCGGCGCUGACGGGACCGCGCGGGGCGCACCGGCUGAAGGCAGCUCCGGGGCCCGCGGCCCGGACUUGGUCCUGCGCAGCGGGCGCGGGGCAGCGCAGCGGGAGGAAGCGAGAGGUGCUGCCCUCCCCCCGGAGUUGGAAGCGCGUUACUUGGGUCCAAAAUGCCCAAGAAGAAGCCGACGCCCAUCCAGCUGAACCCGGCCCCCGACGGCUCUGCGGUUAACGGGACCAGCUCUGCGGAGACCAACUUGGAGGCCUUGCAGAAGAAGCUGGAGGAGCUAGAGCUUGAUGAGCAGCAGCGAAAGCGCCUUGAGGCCUUUCUUACCCAGAAGCAGAAGGUGGGAGAACUGAAGGAUGACGACUUUGAGAAGAUCAGUGAGCUGGGGGCUGGCAAUGGCGGUGUGGUGUUCAAGGUCUCCCACAAGCCUUCUGGCCUGGUCAUGGCCAGAAAGCUAAUUCAUCUGGAGAUCAAACCCGCAAUCCGGAACCAGAUCAUAAGGGAGCUGCAGGUUCUGCAUGAGUGCAACUCUCCGUACAUCGUGGGUUUCUAUGGUGCAUUCUACAGCGAUGGCGAGAUCAGUAUCUGCAUGGAGCACAUGGAUGGAGGUUCUCUGGAUCAAGUCCUGAAGAAAGCUGGAAGAAUUCCUGAACAAAUUUUAGGAAAAGUUAGCAUUGCUGUAAUAAAAGGCCUGACAUAUCUGAGGGAGAAGCACAAGAUCAUGCACAGAGGUAAGAAGUUAUUUGCUAGUUAUUGUGCUUUGAAUUUUAGAUACAAUCCAAAGAUAGUUGCUUCCUCUUUUUUAUAUGUUUUGUUUUCGUGUAAAAGCCUUUUAAUAACAUGUUAACUCUUUUAUUAAAAGUCUUUGUUUAGUUUGGUGGCUGAGGCAGCAACUCCCACCCUCUUUUUGGUCUUGCUAUACCUAUUGCCUAUAGCUGUGAUGGACAAUAGUCAUAGUCACCCUGGAAGCCCAGCUAAGAGCCUCAGCCA